AAUUUCUCUGAGUCUAAGAUCUCCUAAUCAAGCCAGCCCUUGCACGGCUACAAAACUAACCUCCCUAAAACACAGGUAGCCAGGAAGCAUUUUCUGGGCUAGAUAUCAGGACAAACCCAUGAAUUGUGAGAGGUUCUCUCUGCUGAGAGCUCCCUCUGAUCCCAGGAAAUGGAGUGCUGGUUCCAUGUGCUAGAAGACACAGCUUCCUGCCAGAAAGAGGAUCUGGGCCUCAUCUCCAUGUGUGCCAGCAUUCAGAUGCGGCUGUCUGGGCUUUCAUGGAUGAGUCAUGGCAAUGGCCAGACCUCAGCUGCAAGUUGGGGU
rnacentral:lncRNA from 1 species